UGAAUACGAGAUGCUACGGCGUCGAAGCAGUCUAUGUCAUACUUCCAAGAAAAGCUUGCACUGUCAUAAACAAAUAAUGCCUGUACCAUAACCGACACAGGUGGGUAGGUAGAGUAUACUAAGGGGCGCGAGAUAACUCUCUCUAAGGAACUCGGCAAAAUGACUCCGUAACUUCGGGAGAAGGAGUGCCUUAUUUAUAAGGUUGCAAUAACAAGAUCCAAGCAACUGUUUAUCAAAAACACAGGUCUCCGCUAAGUCGUAAGACGAUGUAUGGGGGCUGACGCCUGCCCAGUGCCAGAAGGUUAAAGAAGUUGGUUAGCAUUCGCGAAGCUGAUAACUGAAGCCCUGGUGAACGGCGGCCGUAACGAUAACGGUCCUAAGGUAGCGAAAUUCCUUGUCGGGUAAGUUCCGACCCGCACGAAAGGCGUAAUGAUUUGGAUACUGUCUCGCAGAGGGGCUCGGUGAAAUAGACUUGUCUGUGAAGAUGCGGACUACCUGCACCAGGACAGAAAGACCCUAUGAAGCUUUACUGUAACUUGAGAUUGAAAUUGGACUUUACUUGCGCAGUAUAGGUGGGAGGCGUUGAUAAUAUUCUUGCGGGAUUAUUUGAGCCAUCAGUGAGAUACCACUCUUGUAAUGUUAGAUUUCUAACUUUGUAUCAUUAUCUGGUCAAAGGACAGUUUCAGGCGGGCAGUUUGACUGGGGCGGUCGCCUCCUAAACGGUAACGGAGGCGCACAAAGGUUUCCUCUGAACGGGUAGAAAUCGUAUCUAGAGUGUAAAGGCAUAAGGAAGCUUGACUGUGAGACCUACAAGUCGAGCAGGGACGAAAGUCGGUCUUAGUGAUCUGACGGUGCUGAGUGGAAAGGCCGUCACUCAACGGAUAAAAGUUACUCUAGGAUAACAGGCUGAUCUCCCCCAAGAGUUCACAUCGACGGGGAGGUUUGGCACCUCGAUGUCGGCUCAUCGCAUCCUGGGGCGGUAGUACGUCCCAAGGGUUGGGCUGUUCGCCCAUGAAAGCGGUACGCGAGCUGGGUUCAGAACGUCGUGAGACAGUUCGGUCCAUAUCCGGUGUAGGCGUUAGAAUAUUGAGAGGAGCCUUCUUUAGUACGAGAGGACCGAGAAGGACAUACCUCUGGUGUACCAGUUAUCGUGCCAACGGUAAACGCUGGGUAGCUAUGUAUGGAGUGGAUAACCGCUGAAAGCAUCUAAGUGGGAAGCCCACCUCAAGAUAAGUAUUCUCAUC
rnacentral:rRNA from 1 species